GUGGCGCGAUUUCUCUGAAUUAAAUCCACAUACGCAACCAGAUGCAGAUCUUCUUCUUGGUUAAUGGCUCCAACCUCCAACAGCGGAGGCAAUACGACCAGAUCACGUCUAAUUGUCUUUCGUCAAAUAGGAUUAUUGUGAAGUAUGUCAACAAGGCGGUGAAAUCAUAUUGUGCGACACUUGUCCCAGAGCAUACAAUUUAGUGUGCUUAGAGCCUGAAAUGGAGGAAACAUCAGAAAGAAAAUGGAGUUGUGCUCAUUGCGGUGGAGAAGGUGCAGCAGAAGACGACGAUGAACAUAUGGAAUUCUGUAGAGUAUGCAAGGAUGGUGGAGAAUU